AGUGAACGCUGGCGGAAGGCCUAACACAUGCAAGUCGAACGGCAGCACAGUAAGAGCUUGCUCUUACGGGUGGCGAGUGGCGGACGGGUGAGGAAUACAUCGGAAUCUACUUUUUCGUGGGGGAUAACGUAGGGAAACUUACGCUAAUACCGCAUACGACUUACGGGUGAAAGCAGGGGAUCUUCGGACCUUGCGCGAUUGAAUGAGCCGAUGUCGGAUUAGCUAGUUGGCGGGGUAAAGGCCCACCAAGGCGACGAUCCGUAGCUGGUCUGAGAGGAUGAUCAGCCACACUGGAACUGAGACACGGUCCAGACUCCUACGGGAGGCAGCAGUGGGGAAUAUUGGACAAUGGGCGCAAGCCUGAUCCAGCCAUACCGCGUGGGUGAAGAAGGCCUUCGGGUUGUAAAGCCCUUUUGUUGGGAAAGAAAAGCAGCAGGUUAAUACCCCGCUGUUCUGACGGUACCCAAAGAAUAAGCACCGGCUAACUUCGUG
rnacentral:rRNA from 1 species